rnacentral:rRNA from 1 species
CAGGAUGAACGCUGGCGGCGUGCUUAACACAUGCAAGUCGAACGGAGUUUUAACGGAAGUUUCGGAUGGAAGUUAAAAACUAGUGGCGGACGGGUGAGUAACGCGUGGGUAACCUGCCUCAUACAGGGGGAUAACAGUUAGAAAUGACUGCUAACACCGCAUAAUAUAGCGAAACCGCAUGAUUUUGCUAUCAAAUAUUUAUAGGUAUGAGAUGGGCCCGCGUCUGAUUAGCUAGUUGGUGGGGUAAAAGCCUACCAAGGCGACGAUCAGUAGCCGGCUUGAGAGAGUGACCGGCCACAUUGGGACUGAGACACGGCCCAAACUCCUACGGGAGGCAGCAGUGGGGAAUAUUGGACAAUGGGGGAAACCCUGAUCCAGCGACGCCCGCGUGAGUGAAGAAGUAUUUCGGUAUGUAAAGCUCUAUCAGCAGGGAAGAUAAUGACAGUACCUGACUAAGAAGCCCCGGCUAACUACGUGCCAGCAGCUGC